UACGGAGGAUGCAAGCGUUAUCCGGAAUGAUUGGGCGUAAAGCGUCUGUAGGUGGUUUUUAAAGUCUUCUGUCAAAGAUCAGGGCUUAACCCUGGGUCGGCAGAAGAAACUUAAAAGCUGGAGUCUGGUAGGGGCAGAGGGAAUUCCCGGUGUAGCGGUGAAAUGCGUAGAUAUCUGGAGGAACACCGGUGGCGAAGGCGGCAUCCUGGACCGGCAUUGACGCUGAGGAGCGAAAGCCAGGGGAGCAAACGGG
rnacentral:rRNA from 1 species